AGCGAACGCUGGCGGCAGGCCUAACACAUGCAAGUCGAACGAACUCUUCGGAGUUAGUGGCGGACGGGUGAGUAACACGUGGGAACGUGCCUUUAGGUUCGGAAUAACCCAGGGAAACUUGUGCCAAUACCGAAUGUGCCCUUCGGGGGCAAGAUUUAUCGCCUUUAGAGCGGCCCGCGUCUGAUUAGCUAGUUGGGGAGGUAAAGGCUCACCAAGGCUACGAUCAGUAGCUGGUCUGAGAGGAUGACCAGCCACAUUGGGACUGAGACACGGCCCAAACUCCUACGGGAGGCAGCAGUGGGGAAUCUUGCGCAAUGGGCGAAAGCCUGACGCAGCCAUGCCGCGUGGAUGAUGAAGGUCUUAGGAUUGUAAAAUCCUUUCACCGGUGAAGAUAAUGACUGUAGCCGGAGAAGAAGCCCCGGCUAACUUCGUGCCAGCAGCCGCAGUAAAAC
rnacentral:rRNA from 1 species